CACAGAGGGGGCAAGCGUUGUUCGGAAUUACUGGGCGUAAAGGGCGCGUAGGCGGCCUGCUAAGUCGAACGUGAAAUCCCUGGGCUCAACCCAGGAACUGCGUCCGAUACUGGUUGGCUUGAAUCCGGGAGAGGGAUGUGGAAUUCCAGGUGUAGCGGUGAAAUGCGUAGAUAUCUGGAGGAACACCGGUGGCGAAGGCGGCAUCCUGGACCGGUAUUGACGCUGAGGCGCGAAAGCCAGGGGAGCAAACGGG
rnacentral:rRNA from 1 species